rnacentral:rRNA from 1 species
UACAGAGACUGCAAGCGUUAUUCGGAUUCACUGGGCGUAAAGGGUGCGCAGGCGGCCAAGUGUGUGAGGCGUGAAAGCCCGGGGCUUAACCCCGGAAUUGCACCUCAAACUACAUGGCUAGAGCAUUGGAGAGGGUAGCAGAAUUCAUGGUGUAGCAGUGAAAUGCGUAGAUAUCGUGAGGAACACCAGAGGCGAAGGCGGCUACCUGGACAAUUGCUGACGCUCAGGCACGAAAGCGUGGGGAGCAAAAGGG